GUGCUCGCUUUGGCAGCACAUAUACUAAAACUGGAAUAACACAGAAAAGAUUAGUAUGGCCUCUUGCACAAGGAUGACACACAACUUAAUGAAGCAUUCAUAUUAAAA